AGAGUUUGAUCAUGGCUCAGGAUGAACGCUGGCGGCGUGCCUAAUACAUGCAAGUCGAACGAAUCUUCUUCGGAAGAUGAGUGGCGAACGGGUGAGUAAUACAUAGGUAACCUGCCCCUGUGCGGGGGAUAACAGGAGGAAACUCCUGCUAAUACCGCAUAGCCAUGAGCACCGCAUGGAGCUCAUGCCAAAUAUCCUUUCGGGGAUAGCGCAGGGAUGGACCUAUGGCGCAUUAGCUGGUUGGCGGGGCAACGGCCCACCAAGGCAACGAUGCGUAGCCGGCCUGAGAGGGCGGACGGCCACAUUGGGACUGAGACACGGCCCAGACCUCCGUACGGGAGCA
rnacentral:rRNA from 1 species